CUAUAGCCCAAACUGGCCUCGAACCUCAAACUCCCAGUGAUCCUCCUGCCUUAGCCUCCUGAGUGCUGAGAUUAAGGCCUGUGCCAUCAUGCCUGGCUGAUUCUUACAUUCCUAUUCAACUGCUUUUAAGGAAAAACAAACAAACAAAAAAAAAAACCUGUUGCUAGCUUUGUCUUUGAAGAAUUGAAAAAUCACAAUGUUCAAACUAUAUGGGAAAAUGCGUCAAGCAUCUUCCACUGGGUUCCUCAUACUUGUUUGAUCGAUAUAAUGAAAGCAAUAUACGACAUGAUGGGCAAAUGCACAUAUCCUGUCCUCAAAGAAGAUGCUCCCAGACAACACAUGGAGACAUUUUUCCAGAAAAUGGACAAAAAUAAAGAUGGGGACCAUAGACGAGUUCAUUGAAAGCUGCCAAAAAGAUGAAAACAUCAUGCGCUCCAUGCAGCUCUUCGAAGAUGUGAUUUAACUUGUCAAAUGUGAACUACUCUACCACACUUACAGUUGGAGCUACCACUUUUAGCAUAGAUUGCUCAGCUUUACACUGAGGCAUAUUAUACCAACAAGCUUUGUUUAAUAUCAAGCAAUCCCAGGAAGAUUUGAGUUUUUCAUUUAUAAUUUGCAUCCCUUUCAUAACGGCACUGAGUUCAUGAGAUAUUCUAACUCAUUUCACACUCUGGAUAUUCAAAAGUAAUAGAAUCUGGUGUAUAGUUUUUUGAUCCUUUAGUCAUGGGAUUAUUGAGGCUUUCACACAUUAGUAAUUUUAAAAUAUCAGUGUUUUUUGCUAUUCAUUUGUAGGUAUUCAGUCCGAGGAUUUCAAAUUAUUUUCUAAAAUAUGUACAUCUGUAUUAUUUCCAGAAGUUAAUUUCACUUCCUUACAUUUAUGUAACAUUAACAAAGUAAGAUUACUACAAUUGGAAACCAAAACUGCGUAAUUUUCCAAUUUCUAUAGAUUUCCCACCUUCUGUUAAAGACAUUAUCUGGCAUUUUUUAUAACAAAAAAUUAGUUUAUUACUGAAUGUCAACAUAUGCCUAAUAAAAUUUAUUUUAAUAAGCACUUUUCCACGUAUUACAGCAAAGGCCUACAAAAUAUGUAUGAUUUUGGGCUGGUUUAAUCUUACAAGUGGACUGUAUCUAGGAGGCUAUUAAGCGGAAGUUCAAAGCAAGGAAGUUUACAUAGGCAAAGGGUCAGGAUAUCUGUCCUUUGAUACAUAAUAAUGCUCAACAAAAAAUAAUCCCUGACAGUAUUAAAGACCAAUUCCAUCUCCUUUGCCCUGACUUCCCCACAGCAUGUUUAUAUUACAAGCCAUUUGGGGUCAAAGAAACCCAA